rnacentral:rRNA from 1 species
GACGAACGCUGGCGGCGUGCCUAAUACAUGCAAGUAGAACGCUGAAGGAGGAGCUUGCUUCUCUGGAUGAGUUGCGAACGGGUGAGUAACGCGUAGGUAACCUGCCUGGUAGCGGGGGAUAACUAUUGGAAACGAUAGCUAAUACCGCGUAAAAUUGAUUAUUGCAUGAUAGUCAAUUAAAAGGUGCAAUUGCAUCACUACCAGAUGGACCUGCGUUGUAUUAGCUAGUUGGUGAGGUAACGGCUCACCAAGGCAACGAUACAUAGCCGACCUGAGAGGGUGAUCGGCCACACUGGGACUGAGACACGGCCCAGACUCCUACGGGAGGCAGCAGUAGGGAAUCUUCGGCAAUGGACGGAAGUCUGACCGAGCAACGCCGCGUGAGUGAAGAAGGUUUUCGGAUCGUAAAGCUCUGUUGCAAGAGAAGA